rnacentral:lncRNA from 1 species
GAGAAUCAACAGUCAACCCGAAAUUUGGGUCACAUUUAGAGUGUUUUGAGAAACGAUCAUCUUGCAACCCAAUGACUAUCGUCCUAUCCGAUUGUUUCUCUCUUUGUAAUUCUCUUUUCCAUUUCUUUUAUUUUAGUGCGAGUAUAUGAUACCAACGACCAACUUGUUACCAACCACUCUUUGUAAGACUUAGACCAUGGACUCGCAAUUGAGUAAAGCAUGGGGAGAAGGACCCCAAUAGAAAUGACACUUGUGC